UCCACUGUAAUAUGUUCAAUCCACAGUAUAAUUUGUCCUCUUCUUACGAACAGUGGCUCUAAAAGAUGCUCACCGUAAACUGUUUUCUACCCAGUCUCCUCGUGACUUUCCGUGAAACUGCCUCCAUCUGAGCUUCAGAUACUGGGACAAAAAGAAUAAAUAUAAUUAUCAACCUCAGUCAUCAUUAGUUUCUUCCCAUGCCUCCGAUUGGCAGUUUCAUGGAUUGGUAACUAUUACCACAGCUAGACGCCCUUUGGAUAAGCGAGCAUUCUCUGCCUCUGGAAUGAUCUGAUCUUUCCAUCGGAUGAAGCAAGGCAUUGAGGUUUCUCGUGUACAGUGUUCCAUUCAUCGGUCUAUUCCAUAACCAUCGGUAACCAUCGGUAACCAUCGGCCUCGGUAGCAAACCAUCCGUGGGCCUUGUCACGAAUGAUCCAGAUGCCAGACAGACGCCAUGAAAAAGCCCGACUCCACCAAUCUCGUUCCAAAGGUACAAACCCUGCGCCCUCCGCACAUCCAGUGCCCUCUAUGGGAAACCCUCGUUUUCCAUCCGAAAACCCCAUUCGAAACCAAAACCCCAGGAAAGCCAUUGACACAGGCGAUAAAAGGAGAUAAGAAGAAGAAGAAGAAGUUCCCAUAAUCAUCCCGCUUCGCUCCCCUGCAGCCCUGAACUCCCCGCAAAGGAAGACUAAUCGGCACCCCACGGCAUUUCGAGAAACCCUAACUGAUCUACACCUCAAACUCAAACGAAAGCAAGGAUGGGCAAGAUCAAAGGGUGAAUGUAACCAGAUCCGACGAAGGAUCCCCUUAC
rnacentral:lncRNA from 1 species